GGCCGGGACUAGUGUUGGAAUUUAGACCCGGUAUUUAAAUGGAACCGGGACUAAAUGUCAUUCCCCAUAUUUGAACUCUUCUUCCCCUGGCCGAGCCCAUCGAUCUUCACUCUUUUGUUGUGUUCUUCAUUUGGAGUUGUUUGUUCUUGCUCUCAUCUCCGGCUAUUGAUUCAUUUCAUCAUUUCUACGCCGUCAUCGACUUGUUAAGAGGUCACUAGCUUCAUCUUCUCAACAUUUAGCAGCGGCAUAUGUCAUUUCCUAGUGUUAUGUAUGUUGUUUUUU
rnacentral:lncRNA from 1 species